rnacentral:rRNA from 1 species
UACGUAGGGUGCAAGCGUUGUCCGGAAUUAUUGGGCGUAAAGAGCUCGUAGGCGGUUCGUCGCGUCGGCUGUGAAAUCCCGAGGCUCAACCUCGGGUCUGCAGUCGAUACGGGCGGACUGGAGUUCGGCAGGGGAGACUGGAAUUCCUGGUGUAGCGGUGAAAAUGCGCAGAUAUCAGGAGGAACACCGGUGGCGAAAGGCGGGUCUC